UUAAGCCAUAAUCUAAAAUGGUUGGAGUAAAGUGUAUGUGUAUGUCCAUGUCCACAAUUUUUGCAUCUUCAUCUCUACCACCUACUGACCCUAACUUAAAACCUCCAUUCCUCAAAACCCAAACAAGAGUUGAAAGGAAACUCUCAGUUGCAGAGAUAGAAAGAGCCAUUGGUGCUGGCAUUUUUAAAGAUAGAGAUACCACCAGGAGUGCAAAGGAGAAUAAAACAUUGUUUGACUCAAUUUUGUCCAAUUCUGUUGGGGAGAAUGAAGGGGAUGUUGAGAAGAAGCUAAGACAAACUGGUGAAUGGCUUAUUCAUAAAACUCAAAACGCAUCUGCCUCUACUGGAAAACAGAUUUUAGUUGUUGUCUUUCAAUGGAUUCUACCAAUGUGGAUUAUUGCAUUUCUUCUUGCUUCUGGGAUCCUCAACCUACCAUUUCUUGAUGACUUGCUUUUGUAAACAAUUAUCCCCUUACAUAUUCGACUUAUAUUACUCUCUUUCAUACUCCCUCCGUACAUUUUUAUUUUUUUAUGUUGUCACGGACAAAAUUAGGCAGAGGCCAUACAUUUUUAUUUUUCAUGUUG
rnacentral:misc_RNA from 1 species